rnacentral:lncRNA from 1 species
CUAAAGAUGCAGCUACAUUUUCUUUUAAAAAGGAAGCCAGUAAAUAUGUUUUCCCUAAAUUUUAUCUAGGGAAAUGUGAUCGUGAAGCUAAAGCAGUUAACCAGGGUGGAAACAAAUUCGGAAAACAUAGUUCUGUAACUAAAACCACAGUUUCUGAUGCUUCAAACAGUUGUAAUGUAGAAUUAGCAGAAAAUAAGAAAACUUGUUUUUCAUUUCCCUUUGACCAUUCAGAAAGAGAUUGUUCUGCAGUAUCAGGAGUCAGCAAUUCAUCCAAGAUUUUACCAUUAUCCUCAUUUUCUAACCAAUCAGAGAAGCCAGCUGACCAAAAUACAUUAUCUCACAUGGUAGAAAAUGCAUUUUCUCCAAAGAAAACUGUAGAAAAUGAUACGCUGAAACCAUCUGUCUCAGUGGAGCAAAAAGCUAAUGCAUCAGAAUCCAUCACAACAGCACCUUGCAGUACUUCAGAAACCGGCAUUGCAGCUGGGGUGGAUGAUGUCUCAGAGUCUUCCCUUCUCCCCAGCACCAAUGGUACUGAAAAAAGUGAACAAGAGAAGAUGAAACCUCUUGACAAAACACCUCCAAAUCUAGUAAAGUCUGCAUCUCCAGAGUGUACAGAGACUGCAUCUAGACACAGUCACCCAAAAGAUGAAGGUUCUUUUCCAAUGGGCUCAUCUAAGAAAAUAGAAAGUGCAGAAAUACUUGCUGAUAGUAAUUCUUCUUGUAGUCCACUUUUAUGUUCAGCUGUCCUUCCUGCUAAAGAUGAGAAUGCAUCAUCUGAUCACCUGACCAUUACUUCAACACAACAGGAAGUAAAGGUAAAAGAUCAAGGAAGUAUUGCUGAAAACAACUGCUCUAUUCCUGGGAGGGAAGAUGAACUUAAGUCCAGAAUGCUUCAGAAUGCAGCUUGUUCUGCUCCGGGCAUGUGCAAUGAUUCAGUUUCAAGAGCUUCUGUACUUACAGUAAAUGAGUCUGGAGGAAUGCUGAGUGACAGUGAUUCUGACACUGAAGCGCUAAGUCAAACGUCUGUGUCUAGUGAUACCAGCAGUGUAUCAGAAUAUUUUUCUGUUGCAGAAGACAAGAUACCUACUAGAAGAAAAUCAGAGGCAUGA